UACGUAGGGUGCAAGCGUUGUCCGGAAUUAUUGGGCGUAAAGAGCUCGUAGGCGGCUUGUCGCGUCGGCUGUGAAAACCCGCGGCUCAACUGUGGGCGGGCAGCUGAUACGGGCAGGGCUGGAGUUCGGUAGGGGAGACUGGAAUUCCUGGUGUAGCGGUGAAAUGCGCAGAUAUCAGGAGGAACACCGGUGGCGAAGGCGGGUCUCUGGGCCGAUACUGACGUGAGGAGCGAAAGCGUGGGGAGCGAACAGG
rnacentral:rRNA from 1 species